AUUUAUCGAAGCGACGGUCAACAAGACUUUCGGCAAAAAUAGGAAGAAUCGAAUAAUUGGAAUCGGAGAAGCUGCAAGUAUGGUGAGCACAACAAACGAAAGAUGGGCUGCUCCAAAUUGGAAAGGAAAAGAGCCGAUCUCAGAGAGCACGACUGUUGAAGCACCACCAGAUGCAGUAUGGUCGGAAAAAUUCAAAGCAUUGGAG
rnacentral:lncRNA from 1 species